rnacentral:rRNA from 1 species
GACGGAGGGUGCAAGCGUUGCUCGGAAUCACUGGGCGUAAAGGGUGCGUAGGCGGGUCUUUAAGUCAGGGGUGAAAUCCUGGAGCUCAACUCCAGAACUGCCUUUGAUACUGAGGAUCUUGAGUUCGGGAGAGGUGAGUGGAACUGCGAGUGUAGAGGUGAAAUUCGUAGAUAUUCGCAAGAACACCAGUGGCGAAGGCGGCUCACUGGCCCGAUACUGACGCUGAGGCACGAAAGCGUGGGGAGCAAACAGG